rnacentral:lncRNA from 10 species
AGCACCGCACCGUGUGAACACACUUCAUACAGAGAGUCAGUACUGCACCGUGUGAACAUGCUUCAUACAGAAGAUCAGCACCUCACUGUGUGAACACACUUCAUACAGAAGGUCAGCAAUGCACCGUGUGAACACACUUCAUACAGAGAGUCAGCACUGCACUGUGUGAACAUGCUUCAUACAGAAGAUCAGCACCUCACUGCGUGAACAUGUGUUAUACAGAGAGUCAGCACCGCACCGCGUGAACAUCCUUCAUACAGGUCAGCACUGCACCAUGUGAACACACUUCAAACAGAGAGUCAGUACUGCACCAUGUGAACAUGCUUCAUACAGAAGAUCAGCACCUCACUCUGUGAACAUGUGUCAUACAGAAGGUCAGCACUGCACUGUGUGAACACGCUUCAUACAGAAGGUCAGCACCGCAUUGUGUGAACAUGUGUCAUACAGAGAGUCAGCACCGCACCGUGUGAACACGCUUCAUACAGAGGGUCAGCACCGCAUUGUGUGAACAUGCUUCAUACAUGAGAUAUUUGGUCUUAGUCCUUGGUUCCUGGCACAGAGCUUCAAAAAUUCCUGGAAUUUCCUGAGUGAUAAGGAUGUCUGUUUAUUUGUAAAGCGCUCCUUCUGACCAUGCCUGAGCUUAUGCCAGUGAGGUGCCUCAAAGUGGGCCUUUAGAGAGCUUCAAGAGAGGGGCUGGCCAUGCCAGAGAGAUCAAGUCCAUAUUUAAAGGGCUAGAACGUUCAGCCCCACCCGACCUCUGCAGAGGGGAGAGGGAUUGGGCACUGAGUUCAUUCCUGCUUACAUGGCUAACUUUUAUUUGUCCCUCUCUCUCUCUCUUUUAAAAUGAGUAUAGGGACCUGAAACAGUGGUUUAUUCUCCUUAUCAUUCAUCAAGAAACUGAACUGAGCAAUGUUGUAUCAUCUGUCCACAUGGCUUGGUUUGUUCUGAGCUAUAAUCUUCAUUCACUUAUUCAGCAAAAUUUCCUAAACAACUACUAUAUGCCAGGUGUUUUAGAUACUGGGGACGCAGCAGUGAACAACUGGGUCAAAGCCUUUCACUGUCAUGAAAUUAGUCUCACCCAAAAUUCUCAGACUAUUAUAAGAAAACAUUAUCUGUAAAAUGAUUUUGUGUUAUUUUUCUAGUUGUGUUUAUAAGUUACAAAUUAGUUUUUUCACCAUCCCACGUGUGGCUUAUGCAGGCCCUUGUCAGGCCACCCUUCCUGUAAGCCUUGGCAGAGUCCACGUGAUGCUAACUCUGCAGGUGCACAGAGUGCAUGAACUGUGGAGACACAGCCACCUCCACCUCCUGACCUCGCACCCAGCUCGGAGCCCGGAGCGUGCCUCGGCGGCCUGUCGGGUAAGGCCGGGCCUCGGAGCGGUGGCGCGGGGGCGGGCGCGGGGAGAGGCCAGGCUCCCAUCCCUUCCGGGCGCCCCGACGGAGACAGACGACCUCUGAUCCCCCGCCCCCGCCUGGGUACAGGCCGGGCCAGCCCGCGAGGGAGGGAGGGAGGGAGGACGACAGAUGCAGGCGGAAGGCAAGACUGAAACCUGAGAUCAGAACUAGAGACGAUUUCACAACAAGGAGAAAUCAGCUUUGUGCUUACAUGCCGAGCAGCCAGCACGGUUCUUCUUUGCCUGUCCUCGGGGGAAAUCAGGGCUCUGAGAGUGGAGAUCGAGAUGGGCUAGUGGGUGGCGGAUGGGACGCUGCAGCUGGGGUAGCUGGGGCCUGCCUUACCCCCGCCCCACCCCCAGACUCACCUGUCUGCAAGGUCAGAGCCCUUUAGGGCACCCUGGGUGCCCUAAAAUCCCCUAUAACUGCUGAGUCCUUGGCCAGAAUGGUCCCACAUUUGUGGGCCUGGGAAAGUGUUCUUGCCCUGCUGGAAUAAAAAAGCGGGGAGAAAGUACAAGAUCCAGGAUGCCUCAGGGCGGUUGGCAGAAAU